rnacentral:ribozyme from 1 species
AAAAAAUCAAUACGGAAAGAAAAGAAAAAACAAAAGACAAUUAGGAACACUGUCUCUUUGUUCUUUCUAUCAACUCCGCCCCCUUUUGCUUGCAGCACUUAUCACUAUUCAUAUGAGUUUUUCCCACUGUUGGAAAGGGUGAAAGGAAGCGUUCGGAGUAUGAACUCGUGCAAAAGAAAUAGAGAAGAAAACUGAAU